CCCCGGGAAACUGGGGCUAACUCUUGAUAGGCGAAGAACUCUGGAAUGAGUCUUUACCUAAAUAGUGCAGCGUUAUGCUCGUUGCAUCGCCCAAGGAUGAGGCCGCGACCGAUCAGGUUGUUGGCGAGGUAAUGGCUCACCAAGCCUUUUACCGGUGCGGGCCGUGGGAGCGGGAGCCCGGAGAUGGGCACUGAGACAAGGGCCCAGGCCCUACGGGGCGCAGCAGUCGCGAAAACUUUGCAAUAAGCGAAAGCUUGACAGGGCUAUCCCGAGUGCCAUCCGCUGAGGAAGGCUUUUACCCAGUCUAGAACGCUGGGGGAAUAAGGAGAGGGCAAGUCUGGUGUCAGCCGCCGCGGUAAUACCAGCUCUCCGAGUGGUGUGGAUGUUUAUUGGGCCUAAAGCAUCCGUAGCUGGCUAAGUUAGUCCCUUGUUAAAUCCACCGAAUUAAUCGUUGGAUUGCGGGGGAUACUGCUUGGCUAGGGGACGAGAGAGGCAGACGGUAUUUUCGGGGUAGGGGUGAAAUCCUAUAAUCCCGGGAAGACCACCAGUGGCGAAGGCUGUCUGCUAGAACGCGCCCGACGGUGAGGGAUGAAAGCUGGGGGAGCGAACCGGAUUAGAUACCCGGGUAGUCCCAGCUGUAAACGAUGCAGGCUAGGUGUUUGGACGGCCACGUGCCGUUCUAGUGCCGCAGGGAAGCUGUUAAGCCUGCCGCCUGGGGAGUACGAUCGCAAGAUUGAAACUUAA
rnacentral:rRNA from 1 species